rnacentral:rRNA from 1 species
UACGUAGGUCCCGAGCGUUGUCCGGAUUUAUUGGGCGUAAAGCGAGCGCAGGUGGUUUAUUAAGUCUAGUGUAAAAGGCAGUGGCUCAACCAUUGUAUGCAUUGGAAACUGGUAGACUUGAGUGCAGGAGAGGAGAGUGGAAUUCCAUGUGUAGCGGUGAAAUGCGUAGAUAUAUGGAGGAACACCGGUGGCGAAAGCGGCUCUCUGGCCUGUAACUGACACUGAGGCUCGAAAGCGUGGGGAGCAAACAGG